rnacentral:rRNA from 1 species
UACGAAGGGGGCUAGCGUUGUUCGGAAUUACUGGGCGUAAAGCGCACGUAGGCGGAUACUUAAGUUAGGGGUGAAAUCCCAGGGCUCAACUCUGGAAUUGCCUUUGAGACUGAGUGGCUUGAGUACGGGAGAGGUGAGUGGAAUUCCCAGUGUAGAGGUGAAAUUCGUAGAUAUUGGGAAGAACACCGGUGGCGAAGGCGGCUCACUGGCCCGUUACUGACGCUCAGGCGCGACAGCGUGGGGAUCAAACAGG